rnacentral:lncRNA from 1 species
GGAUGCACCCCCUUGGUGCUCUGUUAUUAUAUUUAUACUUUUUAUUUCAAAAAUCUACUACAUUCCCAAAAUCAUCCAUCCUAUUUUUUUUUCUGAAAUAAAAAGUGUGAAGUAUAUAUAUUAACAAGGUACCAUGAAAACAGGGAAUACCACUCAUUUACAAAAUCUUUACAAUGUAGUUAGAGCAUCAAUGAUAUUCCUAAAAUCUUCAUCACUAAUAAUGUCAUGUCCUAAUAAAAUAAAUUCAAAAUAAUGCAUCUAUCUAUCUCUCAUUCUAUACAAAUCAACCUUUUUACCCUCUAAAGCUCUAAAAUUUAUCUCUUUUCAAAGAAUACGAAAAAU